rnacentral:tRNA from 1 species
GUGGCUGUAGCUCAGUGGAUGGAGGGCCUGCCUAAUAUGCAGGAAGCCCUGGGUUUUAUCCCCACUACCACA